GCACGGAGCGGGCCUCGGGGCAAACCCCAC
rnacentral:sRNA from 1 species